GGCUUCAUGGUCGAAUGGUAAGGACACCUGCUUCCCACCCAGGAGUCUCGGGUUCGAUCCCCGCUCGAGGAGA